ensembl:lncRNA
UGUCAGCACUAGAGGGAUGCAAUGUUCAGUUUUGAGCUCUGUAAGAAGGAAAGCAGUGUAUUAGACCAGUAAUCACUGAAGUAAAUCGGCUCCUGCCUGUGUUUGAGCGUCACGGUGAGCAAGGUGUCCGGAAUGGAGUUCAGAAUGCUCCUUGGGAGGUCACUGAAAAAUAAAACUGUAUUGUCGAGUUGAACUGGGGGCUGGUGUUUCUGCUAUCUGCUAAAGUCAGCACACGUGUGAGCCUGAAGAUCAGACUCUGAGGACAGACAGACGGAACGCUUAUCUGACAGUAGCCCCUGGACAGCAGGGGGACAGGUGAUGUACAAAGAAAUCGAGUUCCAGAGAGGUUGCGUGCCUGGCCCCAGAGUCGGUGGAGCGAAGGCUUGAACCCAGCAGCACUGACCUGGAGGCCCUGUCUGUCUGGACCCCCUCGGAAGCCCUUUGGCUCCUUUGGAGUGUUCAGUAACCUGCAGGAUUCUGUGCCACGCUUUUCCAUUUGUUUCAAGAGUUCUUCCUUCAUACUUCCCUCUACCUGGAAAAGGAAGACUAAUGCUGAAUAGUCCUCUUUCCUAUCCCAUUCUCUUCAAUGUGAAUAUAGGACAACCGAAAAGAACGUUGUAAAACGGAACAGUUGGCAGCUCCUGGGUGUGGUGGUUUUUUCUUGCUUUAUCCCAUCUGCUUGCUUUGCCUGAGGAGUUGAUGAAUCAGUUGGACACCUGUGAAGCCAAUCUUUGUGGAAGAGGUGAAAUUGUAGUCAGUACUCACCCACCACCAUCACCACCACCCCGCCACCUGCCAGGAUUCACCUCCUAAGGCUGCACAAAUAUUAUCCUCCCCUGACCUCCAAUCUGCCAGCUACAGUGACUGACUUAAUCCCUAAGUCCUUUAAAAAUUAAAUUGUGUGUACUUUAACUUGAAUUUUCUGUCUGGGGCGGAAGUCUCAACCCUUCUGAGAAGCUUGGGCCCCAACCCCUGUGUAUAAGCCUCUCCUUCGCCUUCCACAUAAUGCCACCUGACUCGAAGAAAGAGGUUAGGUGACAGAACAUUGUAAAGUGGUACCUAAAUAUCGCUCCUGACUCAAUGGUUGUGGGAUGGGCUCCAGGC